rnacentral:rRNA from 1 species
GUAGGUGGCAAGCGUUGUCCGGAAUUAUUGGGCGUAAAGCGCGCGCAGGUGGGUUCUUUAAGUCUGAUGUGAAAGCCCCCGGGCUCAACCGGGGAGGGUCAUUGGAAACUGGGGAACUUGAGUGCAGGAGAGGAAAGUGGAAUUCCACGUGUAGCGGUGAAAUGCGUAGAUAUGUGGAGGAACACCAGUGGCGAAGGAGACUUUCUGGCCUGUAACUGACACUGAGGCGCGAAAGCGUGGGGAGCAAACAGGAUUAGAUACCCUGGUAGUCCACGCCGUAAACGAUGAGUGCUAAGUGUUGGGGGGUUUCCGCCCCUCAGUGCUGCAGCUAACGCAUUAAGCACUCCGCCUGGGGAGUACGGUCGCAAAGACUG